rnacentral:sRNA from 1 species
CUUGGUCAUUUAGAGGAAGUAAAAGUCAUAACAAGGUUUCCGUAGGUGAGCCUGCGGAAGGAUCAUUAAUAGUGCCCUCUGAUGCAAAUCAUUGGGUUAGAUCUGCUCUCUUCGCAAGAAGAGGGUUUCCAUACACACCGUGAACUGUGGCUUCGGCCAUCACAAACUGUUAGUAAUGAAUGUAAUAUCAUAACAAAAACAAAACUUUUAACAACGGAUCUCUUGGCUCUCGCAUCGAUGAAGAACGCAGCGAAAUGCGAUAAGUAAUGUGAAUUGCAGAAUUCAGUGAAUCAUCGAAUCUUUGAACGCACCUUGCGCCCUUUGGUAUUCCGAAGGGCAUGCCUGUUUGAGUGUCAUGAAACCUCACCCCACUUGGGUUUUUGCCUGAGCGGUGGUGUAUUGGGUGUUGCCUUGCUAAAGGCUCGCCUUAAAGACAUGAGCACCUUGGAUGUAAUACGUUUCAUCCUUCUGGGUGGCUGAUAACCCCACAUAUUCAUGAUCUGGCCUCAAAUCAGGUAGGGCUACCCGCUGAACUUAAGCAUAUCAAUAAGCGGAGGAAAAGAAACUAACUAGGAUUCCCUUAGUAACGGCGAGUGAACCGGGAUGAGCUCAAAUUUAAAAUCUGGCGUCUUUCAGGCGUCCGAGUUGUAAUCUAUAGAGGCGUUUUCCGCGCCGGACCGCGUCCAAGUCUCUUGGAAUAGAGUAUCAAAGAGGGUGACAAUCCCGUACUUGACGCGACAACCGGUGCUCUGUGAUACGUUCUCAAUGAGUCGAGUUGUUUGGGAAU